AAAAAUCUUGAAGCCUUGAAGCCACCUGCAGGGCUGUUGUUUUCCAAGGCCUUGCACUUACGUAAUUGACAUCUACAUAGACACACUCCUGGAACAUAUCGGGGGAGGCAGGCAUUCUGCUUGUUCUCAUUUGUUCUCAAAUUACAUGAUAAAAUACAUGUUUUGGACCUUUUAAACCAAAGGGAGUUAUUGAGCCCGCUUACAAAAUCCAUAACAUGUUAGCAGGACUUAUCUAGCUGCCUCCACAGAAUAGCCAAGCAACUCUACACCCGCUUUAGCCCCCACAAAAACAAGCGGAUUGCACUACAAAUAAUUUGCCUAUUUGGAAAAUGAAAGCUUCUCUGUAGUUUGAGGUCCUAUUUUUUCUUUAAGUUGUUACAGUCUUUUCAUGGUCCUUGAGGUCUAGGUUAGGUUUUUGUUUGGGGUAAUUUUUGUAUCCUAUGGAUACUAUUUAAUCUUUAGUAUUGAGUCAGUAUUUCUCACUUAGGCCUUAGGGGAAUACUGCCUGAAGUAUGUAGGGGGCAUGCGGAAUUCAGACGUGGCUUGGAAACUGCACCAUGGGUUCACCCAAGAAACAGACCAGAGGCAACACAUUCUAUCACUAAAACGUGUUCUCAGUUACACUUCCCUUCCAAAGGUAAGACACAGUUAUCCAGAAAGAGCCCUAGAGAUGGAUAAGGAACCUGUUGGAAUGCUCUGAUAUUAAGAAAAAAAAAAUUAAAUUCAAAACCAAAAACAAGUCACAAGGGAGUUUUAUGCCUAUGUAAUCAGUGCAGACAGCCGUUAAGUAAAUGAAGAGGCAACUAACAAUGUCAGAAAAGAGACCGGGCGGUUCCGGCUGACACUACCCUAAUCUUCCAGGACCCAUUAAAUGGUAGUUUCAACGCAUUACCUACCAUAACAUCCUUGAAUAUCACUGAUUUUAUUUGCAGUAUCAAACAUUCCAUUUCAUGCCCCAUUAACAGUGGGAGCCUGGGCUUUUUGACGCAGCUAAACAUUUUACUAACUACCUGGACUAAGUAACCAAUUAACUUUUGGAGACAAUACGGCCAAUUAAGCGCGAAAAGAAAAUUUGGAAAACAGGCUUUUCCUAUCCGGAUGAACAGAGAUAAUUUGUGUCGAUGGAUGUUCUGUGAAGGCCUAUUGUGUCGAGCAGCGUAUUAAAACAUAAACAUGGCUCUUCCCCCAAGAAACUUACAUUUCAGUAAGGGAGCCUGGCCAAAAUGGAAAACUGCAAGGUUCAAAUCCUGGAGUGCAGAAGAAGCAUUAGGCAUUGACCCUGUGGCUUCCUAAUAGAUCCGCAAAGUGCUUUGUUCCUGGAAAUCAUCCGAUGAGUAGUUCAGUGCUAUUGUAUAUCUUGUUAGAGCAGCCGAAGUGCCACAAAAUGAACUAAAAUCUCCCUGCAGAGUUGCUGUAUCAUAUGCUGAGAACAUUCGGAACUUUCAACAAAUUCAUGUUACGAUCCUGGGUAGCCAUGGUUAAAUCUGUACAGGGGUUAAAUGAGAAAUAUGAGCCUGCUGUUAAGUGUCUUCUGAGAGUGACAAAGCUCUGGCCAUAAGGGAUGGGAGAGGAGGGAUUUCUUCUCAGCCUUCCAGCCCUUUCCAGCUGUAUCACAGACAGGAGACAUAAUGCAAAGGGGCUCAGACAUUGACUUCCUGGAUCUUUGCGGCCCCAGGCAUUGACCCCCUCUACCUGGCUUUUCCUACGCUGUAAAAUGAGGAUCCUCCUAUAUUAUGGAGUUUAUUGUGACAACUAAAUAGCUGAGAAGAAGGACAUCUCAUUUGUUUUAACUAUGCAGUUUCCUGUCUAUCUAUCUAUCUAUCCCAUCAAUCUAUCAAUCAAUCUAUCAAUCUGUCUAUCCCUAUCUAUCUAUCCAUCUAUCUAUCUAUAUCUGUCUAUAUCUAUCUAACAUUUAUCUAUCAUCUAUUCAUCUAUCAGCUAUCUUCUGUCUAUCAAUAUUUCAAUCAAUCUCUCUAUCCCUAUCAAUUAAUCUAUCUACCUACCUAUCAACUAUCCAUCUAUCUCUAUCAUCUAUCAUCUAUUCAUCUAUCAUUUAUCAUCUGUCAAUCCAUCUUCCUACUAUCUAUCAAAAGCAACACAUUUUCUUCCUGACUUUAAAAAUAUUUAAGUGGGCCGGGAGGAUGGCUCACGCCUGUAAUCCCAGCACUUUGGGAGGCCUAGGCGGGCGGAUCACGAGGUCAGGAGAUGGAGACCAUCCUGGCUAACAUGGUGAAACCCCGUCUCUACUAAAAAUACAAAAAAAAAAAAAAAUUAACCAGGCGUGGUGGAGGGCGCCUGUAGUCCCAGCUACUCGGGAGACUGAGGCAGGAGAAUGGGGAGAACCCGGGAGGCGGAGCUUGCAGUGAGCCGAGAUCAUGCCACUGCACUCCAGCCUGGGCGACAGAGCAAGACUCCAUCUCAAAAGAAACAAAAACAAAAACGUAAGUGAUACUCUGUCCACUCUUUUGAUUGAGGAGGUCUGAUUUUCAGGCUUUGGAUUUUAUUAUGUCUUCAAUAUAAUAAUUGUUCCAUGUAUCUCUCCUAAAUUGCCAUUUGAAAAACUGCUUUUCUGAAGUUUAAAGUGCACAUUUUGAUACAUCUUGACACAUAUAUACACCCAUGAAAUCAUCACCACAAUCAGGAUAGUAGAUCUAUCCAUUACCGCCAAGGUUUACUUGCACUCCUUUGAACUUUCUCCCCACUCCUCACCCCCUGCCUAUCCCCAAUCCUUAAGCAAUCACUGAUUUGCUUUCUGUCACUAUCAGUUAAUUUGAAUUUUUCAGAAAUGUAUAUAAAUAAAAUCAUUCGACGUGUAUGCUCUUUUUCUGUUCACCCGGUACAAUUUGAGAUUUAGCCAUGUUUUUGCAUGUGUCAAUAGUUUAUUUUUUUGUUGCUCAGUACUAAUCCAUUUUAUGGAUACAGAGAAAUGUAUUAAUGCAAUCCCAUAUUAAUAGGCAUUUGGGUUGUUUCCAGGUUUGGGCUGUUACAAAUAAAGCUGCUAUGAACAUUUUUGUGCAAGUCUUUUUAUGAGUAUAUUCCUUUAUUUCUUUUGGGUAAAUACCUAGAAGUGGGAUGGGUGUAUCACAUGGUACGUAAAUAUUUAAAUUUUUAAGAGAAUGCCAAACUGUUUUUCAAAGUAAUUGCACCAUUUUAUAUUCCCACCAGGAAUAUAUGAGAAUUCCAGUUCCUCUACAUACUCACAGACAUAUUGUAUGGUCAGU
rnacentral:lncRNA from 1 species